rnacentral:rRNA from 1 species
CCUACGGGGGGCAGCAGUGGGGAAUAUUGCGCAAUGGGCGAAAGCCUGACGCAGCGACGCCGCGUGAGGGAUGGAGGUCUUCGGAUCGUAAACCUCUGUCAGCAGGGAAGAACGGUCACUGUGCUAAUCAGCAGUGAAUUGACGGUACCUGCAAAGGAAGCACCGGCUAACUCCGUGCCAGCAGCCGCGGUAAUACGGAGGGUGCGAGCGUUAAUCGGAAUUACUGGGCGUAAAGCGCUCGUAGGCGGUAUGUCAAGUCAAGGGUGAAAUCCCCGCGCUCAACGUGGGAACUGCCUUUGAAGCUGGCAAACUGGAGUGUGUGAGAGGAUAGUGGAAUUCCAGGUGUAGGAGUGAAAGCCGUAGAUAUCUGGAGGAACAUCAGUGGCGAAGGCGACUAUCUGGCACAUAACUGACGCUGAGGAGCGAAAGCGUGGGUAGCAAACAGGAUUAGAUACCCCAGUAGUC